rnacentral:lncRNA from 10 species
CAGGGAGGGAGUAGGUAGCUCAUAUUGCUUGCAGAAUUUACAUAAAGUGCUUAAACAGAUAUGUAAACCCUGGGUGACUUGCCAGGCAUGGUAGUAAAAUUUCUCAGCAGGCGUGAUACCCUGUAGCGAGGACCUUCUAAAUGGACUCACAGGGAGAAAUGGGGCGGUUCAAAGGUAAAGACAAUAGUUUCAAGCCUACACCAAGGCGAGCUGGCACAGGGAUUGCCACAGAAAGAGAGGUGGCAGUGUUUAACCACUCCAGUUCUGGAAAACUCCAUCCAUCCCUCCUCCACCACCACCACCACCACCACCUCCUCUUGCUCAACACAGUGCUUCAAAGGAGCUUGGUGAAUGGGCGAGUCUUGGGCGAUGGGACUGAACACAACCUCCUGCUCACUGGGCCACCUGGAUUGCCUAAUAGCUGUCAACUCAUCCUCUCUGCGGUGGGGCUUUAGUGUUGCCCUGAAGACAGCACAGCACAGCGGCUGCUUCAAUAUCUGAACAAUGGAAGUAAGGGGACUGUGUAUUCUCCUACAGGAACAGAGCAGAUGAUUUCAGAAAAUACUAUAUGAAGUCUCCUUUUAUUAUGCAUUUAAACAAUUUUACUGAAAAACAAAGUCACCCUCUAUCUCUAGGUUCAUUUUUGGUACUUUUCAUAGUGUGUGUGUGUGUGUGUGUGUGUGUGUGUGUGUGUGAUGAAAGGACACAUACAAUUUGAAAUGUGAGCAAUACUUUAUUAUCCAUUGCUAAUGAAGAAAAAAUCAGAAAGUCUAAAGGAAGCAAAUACAUAACUAAAUGGAUCACUGGGAUAAAACCUUUACCCAUAUGAAACGUCCAACAGCUACCCUGAAGGGUAAAAAUAAAAAUGAUAGCUUGGCUUAUUCAGUCAUUCUCCCACUUGACCGAACAAUCUCUCAGCAUAGAGAAGAUGCACGCAAUUAUCUCACCCUGUAGGAUUUGGCCAAGGUCUAUGUAGUAGAACUUUCUUUCCUCCCCUAUUUCUAUCUCAGAUGUAAAAAGGACAUUUCAGAUCAUUUACCCAAUGCCUUCAUUUUACAAGGAAUAAACUGAGGCACAGAGAAAGGCUGUUGGAGUGGCCCACGAUCAAAAAAUCAGCUAACAACAGAUUCAGGUCUUCUGGUCCCACAUAGAGUGGCAGCUGUCCUUGCCC